GAUGAAGAACGCAGCGAAAUGCGAUAACUAAUGUGAAUUGCAGAAUUCAGUGAAUCAUCGAGUCUUUGAACGCACAUUGCGCCCCCUGGUAUUCCGGGGGGCAUGCCUGUCCGAGCGUCAUUGCUGCCCUCAAGCACGGCUUGUGUGUUGGGCUCCGUCCCCCCGGGACGGGUCCGAAAGGCAGCGGCGGCACCGAGUCCGGUCCUCGAGCGUAUGGGGCUUUGUCACCCGCUCUGUAGGCCCGGCCGGCGCCAGCCGACAACCAAUCAUCCUUUUUUCAGGUUGACCUCGGAUCAGGUAGGGAUACCCGCUGAACUUAAGCAUAUCAAUAAGCGGAGGA
rnacentral:misc_RNA from 1 species